GACGAACGCUGGCGGCGUGCCUAAUACAUGCAAGUAGAACGCUGAAGAGAGGAGCUUGCUCUUCUUGGAUGAGUUGCGAACGGGUGAGUAACGCGUAGGUAACCUGCCUUGUAGCGGGGGAUAACUAUUGGAAACGAUAGCUAAUACCGCAUAACAAUGGAUGACACAUGUCAUUUAUUUGAAAGGGGCAAUUGCUCCACUACAAGAUGGACCUGCGUUGUAUUAGCUAGUAGGUGAGGUAAUGGCUCACCUAGGCGACGAUACAUAGCCGACCUGAGAGGGUGAUCGGCCACACUGGGACUGAGACACGGCCCAGACUCCUACGGGAGGCAGCAGUAGGGAAUCUUCGGCAAUGGGGGCAACCCUGACCGAGCAACGCCGCGUGAGUGAAGAAGGUGUUCGGAUCGUAAAGCUCUGUUGUAAGUCAAGAACGGGUGUGAGAGUGGAAAGUUCACACUGUGACGGUAGCUUACCAGAAAGGGACGGCUAACUACGU
rnacentral:rRNA from 1 species